CCCACAUGGGUGUUGGCUAGUGGGGUGACCUUGGCAAGGGCACGAAGACAGCAUUUUCUCAUCUGUCAAGGCGAGACAGCCACUGAGCCCCAGAGUUUCGCCUGCUGGAGACGGACUGGUCCAGGUCCUAGUGCCCAUCAGCACCCACUAGUCUUGGCUGCAGCACUCGGGAUCUUCAGCCUUGGUUGCAGCAUGUGGAAUCCUUAGUUGUGGCACGUGAGAGCUAGCUCCCUGAUCAGGGAUCGAACUUGGGCCCUCUGCACUGGGAACUUGGCGUCUUAGCUGCUGGUGCUUAGCCACAGGACCAGUAGACUGCAGCAUGGGUGACAUGAGAACAAUUCUUUUAAAAAACCUGGAAGCUUCUGCUUUUGUGCACUUGGGUGUCUUGAGCCUCACUGCAAGAAGUCUGGGUAUCUGCAGGAGAGACCACACAGAAAGGCCACGUGGAAAGAUGGAGGCUGAGUGAUCCCAGAGUCCCCAGCUGAACCCAGCCUUUCUGCUCCAGCUGCUGCCUGACUACAGUCCAGGCAGGGCAGCCCACUGGAACUCCUCUGGGAUGUGAACGGUCCUGGGAACACAGGCUCUUCCCCUCCAGUUCACGACCCCUCCCCCAAGUCUCUGCUUUUAGGCACCUCAGUUGCUAAAGGCAUUUAACUUUAAUUCCAUUUGACUUCAAUUGUGUCCAAA